AGAUCAUCUUCCCAAUAACCCGUGAGACGAAGUCACACAAAGCUAAGCCAAGGCGUCAAGGUGCUGUGUUCUCAUUGGGGCCCCAUUCAGGUUGUUGGCAGUCCAGGACAUUGUGGCUACAGAACUAAGGUUUCCCUGCCUGCUGGCUGGUGGCAGAGACUAUUCUUGUUCUCAGGCCCACCGACAGCCUGGCAGCCAGCACGUGAGGCCCCCGCACCCGUGAGUCUGUGACUUCCUCUUCUGUGACCAGUCAGAGAAAACUCUCUGCCUUUGAAGCACUCAUGGAAUUAAAGUGGGCCCGCCCAGAUCAUCUCUCUUUAGCCAGUAAUCUUUUGAUGUUCUGACUACCUGGUCUUUUGUUGAGAAUCUCCUAUAUAUCCUGGCUCCCCACCCUUGCCUCUUCGGAACAGUUUCUGCAAUGUCAUCUGAGAUGCCAUGUCCCGGGCCUGAAGUCCUCAGAAAGUCCACCCAAUAAAACAUAACUCUCAACUUUUA